rnacentral:rRNA from 1 species
AGCCGACCUGAGAGGGUGAUCGGCCACACUGGAACUGAGACACGGUCCAGACUCCUACGGGAGGCAGCAGUAGGGAAUCUUCCGCAAUGGGCGAAAGCCUGACGGAGCAACGCCGCGUGAGUGAUGAAGGUCUUCGGAUCGUAAAACUCUGUUAUUAGGGAAGAACAUAUGUGUAAGUAACUGUGCACAUCUUGACGGUACCUAAUCAGAAAGCCACGGCUAACUACGUGCCAGCAGCCGCGGUAAUACGUAGGUGGCAAGCGUUAUCCGGAAUUAUUGGGCGUAAAGCGCGCGUAGGCGGUUUUUUAAGUCUGAUGUGAAAGCCCACGGCUCAACCGUGGAGGGUCAUUGGAAACUGGAAAACUUGAGUGCAGAAGAGGAAAGUGGAAUUCCAUGUGUAGCGGUGAAAUGCGCAGAGAUAUGGAGGAACACCAGUGGCGAAGGCGACUUUCUGGUCUGUAACUGACGCUGAUGUGCGAAAGCGUGGGGAUCAAACAGGAUUAGAUACCCUGGUAGUCCACGCCGUAAACGA